rnacentral:lncRNA from 1 species
ACCUUAGGCUCCAGGAGUUUCCAGCUGUUGGCCUUGAGUUGCUGUAGCUCCAGGAACUUGAGGGUCACAUCCUCGAUGGAGAGCUGUAGGAGGUCCCAGAAACCCGCCAGGUCCUGGAAGGACUCACCAUGCUUUGCUGACACAGCCGGAAGAACUGCUGAACCUUCUGGGACAGGAGAAGUUGUGUGCUGCCCACAGCACUGCGGAUCUUCUCCAGGACUAGAAAGCAGAAGGAA